rnacentral:rRNA from 1 species
UACGAAGGGGGCUAGCGUUGUUCGGAGUUACUGGGCGUAAAGGGCGCGUAGGCGGCGCAUCAAGUCAGGCGUGAAAGCCCUGGGCUCAACCCGGGAAUUGCCUUUAAGACUGCAUCGCUAGAAUUGUGGAGAGGUAAGUGGAAUUCCGAGUGUAGAGGUGAAAUUCGUAGAUAUUGGGAAGAACACCGGUGGCGAAGGCGGCGACCUGGUCCUUGACUGACGCUGAGGCGCGAAAGCGUGGGGAGCAAACAGG